AGGCCUCAAUUUUGGAUGGAAGAGCCUAUGGAUGAAAGCUUAUCCCAGGUUUUAUUACUGUGAAGAGCUAAUACACUUAAUAAAAAUAAUCUCAAGAUGACCCACCCCUUGGCCAUGUGGCGAGCUCAUUUCUACAGCACUGUGAAAUACCUUAAAAGGCCUUCUUCUGCAUACUGUGUUUAUCAUAAAGAUGUCACCGUCGUGAUGCUUGGCAACCAGUACAAUUUUCUGGAGGUGUUUGCAUACAUUUUCCUGAGGGAGAGAUCCGCUCGGUCCCUGCUUGGGAGAGCUGUCAGUGUAUUCUGAUGUAUGAGGGAUAAAAGGAACCCCCA
rnacentral:lncRNA from 11 species